GGAGACAUGACUCAAGUGGUAGAGUACCUGCCUAGCAAGCAUGAGUCCCUGAGUUCAAACCCUAGUACUUCA
rnacentral:tRNA from 1 species